AGAUCUGAAGGUUCAGCUAAGGUCAAUAGAGCAACAUGUCUUUAUUUCCGUCUGGGAUAUUUUUAUAAGUAUGUGACAAGGUAAUUACAGUGCAUAUCUAUUCAAACACUUGUUAGCUAUCGCUCAGAUAGGUACGGUAACCAGAGCCUCUUCAAUCCUUGUUGCAUGCGAAGAUAUCGAUAGGUGAUACCCCAUAGAAGCUGUGAGGAGGAAAGAUGUUUGAACAGAGUGGCAAGGCCAAAAUUUAAGGGGAAAAGGUUAGCGAAGAGUGGCGCCACCUGGUCCUGGAGAGUGAGAGUUCCGCGCCCUCUCCGGAGCCGUUAUGAGAGAAGAUUUCCGACCUCAUCCCAUAACGGAGUCCCGAAGCCAACUCACCCAUACCCGAAAGAAAAGAGAGCCGCCAGCAGCCCGAAUCAGGCCAUGCCCUUGAACCUAGUUCAAAGGCGAUAGAAGAGAGAGCGAUGGGGAUCAGCGGCCCGGGAGCAUUAAACAGAGCAGCUAAGCCAAGAGGGGGAUCAGAGAAAGAAAUUCCCGUAACGGAGGAGCAUGCGCGCCGGACAUAGUGAUCUAGUGAUUUUUUUUGUUCUGAAAGAAAAAGGGAUCCAGAUCAGUGAGAGACCAGGAACCAGGACUAGCGGGACGGGAAAGAGACCCAAGAAGCAUAAGAGGAAUAGGUCACAGCUCCGCCAUCCUGGCUUGCUUUUUGCUGGGCUCGAAGACACAAUCCUGGCCACGUAGAGCGGGUCCCUCGCCCAUUUAGGGAGAGAGAAAAAAUCAAUCAACAUAUUUACUCCCAUUAUUUAUUUUUGUUAAACGUCCCCAU